rnacentral:lncRNA from 1 species
UUGGGGAAUUUUGGGGAGAAAUACGGGGGUUUUGGGAAAAUUUGGGUCAUUUUGGGGGGUUUUGGGGAUGUUUUGGGGACAUUUCAGAGGACGUUUGGGGACAUCUUGGGGGGCUUUGGGGCACCUUGGGGCACCUUGGGGACACACUGGGGACAUUUUGGGACUCUUGGGGGGGGUUGGGGACGUUUUGGGGACAUUUCAGCAGAUUUUGGGACAUUUUGGGUCAUUUUGGGACACUUCAGGAUGUUUUGGGGAUGUUUUGGGGGAGGAGUUGGGACGUUUUGGGGACAUUUUGGGGAAUCUUGGGGACAUUCUAGAGCCAUUUGGGGACACUUGGGAGGCUUGGGAACAUUUUGGGGACAUUUCAGGACAUUUUGGGGAAAUUUGGGGACAUUUUGGGACAUUUGGGGAUGUUUUGGGGACAUUUCGGGGCAUCUUGGGAUGGGUUUUGGGGAUGUUUCAUGGACAUUUGGGGAUGUUUUGGGGCACCCUGGGGACAUCUUGAGACACCUGGGGACGUUUUGGGGACAUUUCAGGACAUUUUGGGACAUUUCCUCCCCAAAACCCUUUUUAACCCUUCCCUCCCUGAAUCUUUUUAACCCCAAACCUUUUUUAACCCCUUCUUGCCCAAAACCCCUUUUUAACCCCUUCCUCCCCAAACCUUUUUUUAACCCCUUCCUCCCUGAAUCUUUUUAACCCUUUCCCCAAAUCCUUUUUAACCCCUUCCUCCCCAAUUUUUAACCCCUUUCUCCCAUAAUCCUUUUAACCCUUUCCUCCCCGAAUCUUUUUAACCCUUUCCUCCCCGAAUC